GGAGGAUGUAUAGCAAUAGGCUAAUUGUUUCAUAUAUAUGGAACAAUAUCGAUUUAAUCGAAUAAAAUUCUGGGUAGAUUUAUGAUGAUGACAUUGUUUACCUAUAAGUCUUGACCAAAUUACGUGCCAGCAGUCGCGGUAAUACGUAGAAGACAAGUGUUAUUCAUCUUUAAUAGGUUUAAAGGGUACCUAGACGAUAAAUCAAGCCUUAUUUUUUUUAAAGGGACUAAUUUAAUAGAGUUACUUAUGAGGGGGUAGUAAUGUACUGCUGGUGUAGAGAUAAAAUUUUGUGAUACCUUUUUUCUAACGAAAAUUAAUGGCACAGGUUUAGGCGAAAGCAUCCCCUUAUGUGAUAACUGACGUUGAAGGACGAAGGCUUUUUGUAGCGAAUAGGAUUAGAUACCCUAGUAGUCAAAGCAGAAAAUGAUGAAUGUCAUAGAUUAGAUUUAAUAUUAUUUAUUCUAUAAAUGAAAGUGUAAGCAUUCCACCUCAAGAGUAAUUUGGCAACAUUGGAACUGAAAUCAUUAGACCGUUUCUGAAACCAGUAGUGAAGUAUGUUAUUUAAUUAGAUAAUCCGCUAAAAACCUUACCACAAUUUGAAUAUUUAUGUUUAUUUCUUCAUUAGAAGAAAUUAAUAUAUUUACAAGCGUUGCACGGCUGUCUUCAGUUAAUGUCGUGAGAUUUUGGUUAGUUCCAUUAAAUUAACGUAAACCCUUACUUUAUUUUUUUAUAUAAAGUUGUUCCCCAUUAUAUAGGAUAUGAUAACAGGGAUCAAGACAAGUCAUCAUGGCCUGAA
rnacentral:rRNA from 1 species